GGGUCGAUGGCGUAGCUGGUUAUCGCAUCUGUCUAACACACAGAAGGUUCUCAGUUCGAACCUGGGUCGACUCA
rnacentral:tRNA from 1 species